GGUAGUCCACGCCCUAAACGAUGAGCAUUAGGCAUUGGGCUUUGCUCAGUGUCGCAGCUAACGCUUUAAAUGCUCCGCCUGGGUAGUACGGCCGCAAGGCUAAAACUCAAAGGAAUUGACGGGGACCCGCACAAGCGGUGGAGCAUGUGGUUUAAUUCGAUACGACGCGCAGAACCUUACCAAGGCUUGACAUGUAAUGCAACAAUGCUAAACUAGGGAAACCUAGUUGAAUUACACAGGUGGUGCAUGGUCGUCGUCAGUUCGUGCUGUGAAGUGUAUGCUUAAG
rnacentral:rRNA from 1 species